AGUAACGCGUAUCCAACCUGCCUCUGACUGAGGGAUAACCCGUCGAAAGUCGGCCUAAUACCUCAUGGCAUCGUCUGCGGGCAUCCAACGACGAUUAAAGAUUUCAUCGGUCAGGGAUGGGGAUGCGUCUGAUUAGCUUGUUGGCGGGGUAACGGCCCACCAAGGCUACGAUCAGUAGGGGUUCUGAGAGGAAGGUCCCCCACAUUGGAACUGAGACACGGUCCAAACUCC
rnacentral:rRNA from 1 species